rnacentral:rRNA from 1 species
UGCUAGUUGUGCGGGUUUAGACCCGCAGCGGAAGCUCAGUAACACGUGGCCAAACUACCCUGUGGAUGGGAACAAUCUCGGGAAACUGAGGCUAAUUCCCAAUAACGCUCCACCCCUGGAACGGGCGGAGCUGGAAACGCUACGGCGCCACAGGAUGUGGCUGCGGUCGAUUAGGUAGACGGUGGGGUAACGGCCCACCGUGCCAAUAAUCGGUACGGGUUGUGAGAGCAAGAGCCCGGAGACGGAAUCUGAGACAAGAUUCCGGGCCCUACGGGGCGCAGCAGGCGCGAAACCUUUACACUGUACGCAAGUGCGAUAAGGGGACUCCGAGUGUGAAGGCAUAGAGCCUUCACUUUUGUACACCGUAAGGUGGUGUACGAAUAAGGGCUGGGCAAGACCGGUGCCAGCCGCCGCGGUAAUACCGGCAGCCCGAGUGAUGGCCGAUAUUAUUGGGCCUAAAGCGUCCGUAGCUGGCCGGACAAGUCCGUUGGGAAAUCUGUUCGCUUAACGAGCAGGCGUCCAGCGGAAACUGUUCGGCUUGGGACCGGAAGACCUGAGGGGUACGUCCGGGGUAGGAGUGAAAUCCUGUAAUCCUGGACGGACCACCGGUGGCGAAAGCGCCUCAGGAGAACGGAUCCGACAGUGAGGGACGAAAGCUAGGGUCUCGAACCGGAUUAGAUACCCGGGUAGUCCUAGCUGUAAACGAUGCCCGCUAGGUUGUGGCGCAGGCUACGAGCCUGCGCUGUGCCGUAGGGAAGCCGAGAAGCGGGCCGCCUGGGAAGUACGUCUGCAAGGAUGAAACUUAAAGGAAUUGGCGGGGGAGCACUACAACCGGAGGAAC